GCGUUUGGAGGAUACCUCAGGCCUGCUGAGAGGAUGGACGUCGUCCUCACAGCCCUUGAAGCGAUGGUUGACUCCAGCAUCUAUGACAAGGAGGUGGCCUGCAGUGUGAUGGCCGUGGCCAUGGAAGACCACGCCUUCUGGCUAUCAGAUAAAACGCAGAUCGUGACCUCCAUCCGCAAGAACUUGAGGAGCAUCACCGCAAAGGCAGCGCGGCACUGCCUGGACUCCCUGCUCCUCCUUCUGACCAGCCAGAUGCCCGCGGAGGAAGUCAGGGACCUGCUGAAGUCCUCUCCACCAAGCGACAGCAGUGCCCUGGAUAUGUGGGAGGUGAUGCUCUGCAUGCCGCGGACCUUGGAGAAGGUUUUGAAGGAGCUGACCAAGGGCUCACAGCUGAGCAGGCUGCUAGAAGGAGUCACAGAAGACACGUGCAUCCUCUUCUUGGCUCUAAUGGCAAAGAGUGAAGAUAAUGAAGACUUUUUGGGUGACCUACGCCACCUCGAGACUUAUCUGAAGCAUCCAAGUGUGGAGAUGCGCACGGUGGUGCUCAGAGGGCUUGUCAUACUCUCCGAGACACGGGAGAAGGCAAGAAAAAUGGAGGUCGUGCUGCCAGAGAUCAUGGCCACCCUGCAGGCUGCCAGCGCAGACGUCAAGAUGAAGGCCCUGUUUGUCAUCCAAAACAUCAUGGGCCACGUGAAGAG
ensembl:lncRNA